GGGACCCACUGGGUGGCCGCGCGCGCCGCCCGCGCGUUUUUCGCGCGCGUCUGCCCACCAGCGAGGCCGCAACGCGCCCUGACACCCGACCUCAGUGCGGACCCUCACUUGCUGUGGGUGUUGGGGCCUUUCUAGAGCAGGGAGGAAAAGUUAUCCUCACUAUUCUCAGACUCCGGAAUCUCUUAGAAUGUAAAGACACUAAGAAGACAUUCGAUUGAUGAAAUAGAAGAGUUUGCCAACAAGGUAGAAACAUUAAAAGAAAACAGAAUUUUGAAUUCAUGAAUUUUAUCUAAAAUGUUCUUUGCUUUUGUAAACUUCGUAGAGAUCAGUGGAUGUUGUGCUUGAUGUGUUCUGUGUCUGAGUAAUUAUUGUAACUUUACUAUGAUUUAAAAAGAAUGUAAAGUCACUGCUUCCUCCACUUUUACUUUUCUCUUUUCUUCUCCCAAAAUAUUCCUUAUUUAAUGUAUGACACUAGCUAUAUGUUUGUAGACAGUACUAGGAGAUUAAAAAGAAAAGAAAUAACGAAAUGGGG
rnacentral:lncRNA from 1 species